UACUCCUAUCCGGGAUUGAACCGGAGACCUUGUGUGUGUGUGAAGCACAUGUGAUAACCACUACACCACGGA